GGGAAUACCAAAAAGGCUUCAAAGAAGACUAUACGUUAUCUACAGAGUGUCUACUUGACCAUAAAAUUGAAACCAAGCUGAGCUACCCACAGACCACACAGGUGACAAUCACCAGGAAUGGCUUCUGGACAUUGUACCGCCACCAAGCCCAUGUUCAUGAAUCCACUGGCCUAAAUGACAUAAUUACAUUGGCGCUGUUUAAU
rnacentral:lncRNA from 1 species